rnacentral:lncRNA from 10 species
CAAUUUAAGUAUAUUAAACCCUUCAGCAUCUAUCAUCAUGGUAGCUGGGUGGCGGGGGUGGGGGUGGGUACAAGUACAAAGACCAGAGUGAGGAUAGAGCAAUGUGUGAGAAAAACCUGGAUUCUGGUAUAGCUCUACUGCCAAGAAUAUCUCCCUGCCUGGAACAGUUGGAAAUGCAAGAGAGUAUUUUAUGAUUUGUCUGUUUGUUUGCCAAUUUCAAAGAAAUCUUGAUGUAGAAAGUUUGAAAAACACAUAGAAAUAUAAAGAAGUAGGAAAAAAUCACCCAUAAUCCAAUCAUCCAGUAAUAACCAGUUUACACUGUGGUAUUUUUCUCUCUAGAGUUUCUCUCUGGGCUUUUGUUUUUUAAAUAAAUGUGAUACUUGGCUUGAGACCCAUCCACUUCCCAAACUGGAUGAGAUGAGGCCUGUAACAUCCUGAAAAUAUAUAUAUUUCAGAUAUCUUUAAGCAAGGUUUGAAAGCCAAUAGAAAUGGAAACUAAAUGGUAAAUAAAUUCAUGUGUUUGAAACCAUUAUGUGUAUUAAACAGGAUCUUGAAGCAAAUGAAGUACUUUAAGUGUGAUUCAGAGAAUAUUUUGUUAUCUUUCUUUCCUACUAUGGGAAGAGAUUUAGCUUCAUUUUAAACCAGUUAAAGACUGUUUAAAAAUUAUUUCUCUUUAUGAAUAAUGUAUGUCAUGUAACCAAUAUGUCUUCCAUAUUGCUUUGGCUGCCAGGGGGCUCAGGAACUCAUCGAUUCAACUUAAAUUACUACAUAGGUCUUGCAUAUCUAUGUUGUAAUAUUCCCUCUGGUUUUGAUUCUUUUGAUUUUUUUCCCCUGAUCCUGGUUUUUAUCUAGUUAGAGUUUUGUUUUAUUGCAUGUAGUUU